GCCGCUGUAGCUCAGGGGUUAGAGUAGCUGUUUUGUAAACAGCGGGUCGUGGGUUCGAAUCCCACUGGCGGCUCCA
rnacentral:tRNA from 1 species